UACAGAGGUCUCAACCGUUGUUCGGAUUCAUUGGGCGUAAAGGGUGCGUAGGCGGUCGCGCAAGUCGGAUGUGAAAUCUCAGGGCUCAACCCUGAAACUGCAUUCGAUACUGCGUGGCUAGAGUGCUGGAGAGGAGACUGGAAUUUACGGUGUAGCAGUGAAAUGCGUAGAUAUCGUAAGGAAGACCAGUGGCGAAGGCGAGCCUCUGGACAGCAACUGACGCUGAGGCACGAAGGCCAGGGGAGCAAACGGG
rnacentral:rRNA from 1 species